GGCAGUGUGGUAUAAUGGAUAAAGCGCUGGUCUUGUAACCGGAAGGUCGCAGGUUCGAUUCCUGGGUUGAACACUGCCG
rnacentral:tRNA from 1 species